rnacentral:rRNA from 1 species
GAUGAACGCUGGCGGCGUGCCUAAUACAUGCAAGUCGAGCGAACGGACGAGAAGCUUGCUUCUCUGAUGUUAGCGGCGGACGGGUGAGUAACACGUGGUUAACCUACCUAUAAGACUGGGAUAACUUCGGGAAACCGGAGCUAAUACCGGAUAAUAUUUUGAACCGCAUGGUUCAAAAGUGAAAGAAGGUCUUGCUGUCACUUAUAGAUGGAUCCGCGCUGCAUUAGCUAGUUGGUAAGGUAACGGCUUACCAGGGCAACGAUGCAUAGCCGACCUGAGAGGGUGAUCGGCCACACUGGAACUGAGACACGGUCCAGACUCCUACGGGAGGCAGCAGUAGGGAAUCUUCCGCAAUGGGCGAAAGCCUGACGGAGCAACGCCGCGUGAGUGAUGAAGGUCUUCGGAUCGUAAAACUCUGUUAUUAGGGAAGAACAUAUGUGUAAGUAACUGUGCACAUCUUGACGGUACCUAAUCAGAAAGCCACGGCUAACUACGUG